CAGAGACCUCAAGCGUUAUCCGGAAUCAUUGGGCGUAAAGCGUGCCGAUAGGUGGUUUUAUUAGUCUUGGGUAAAAGCCAGAAGCUUAACUUCUGAGUUUGCUUAAGAUACUGUAAAACUUGAGGGGCAAAGAGGUGCUUGGAACGAAUGGUGUAGUAGUGAAAUGCGUUGAUAUCAUUCGGAACACCGAAAGCGAAGGCAGAGCACUGGGUGCCACCUGACACUGCUAGGACGAAAGCGUGGAGCGAAUGGGAUUAGAUACCCCAGUAGUCCACGCUGUAAACGAUGAAUACUAGGCAUGCGCGAGUAUCGACCCUCGUGCGAGCCGUAGCUAACGCGUUAAGUAUUCCGCCUGGGGAGUACGGUCGCAAGACUA
rnacentral:rRNA from 1 species